rfam:Pichia sorbitophila strain CBS 7064 chromosome I complete sequence.
CCACAUGAAUGAUUAUACAACUUCUUAAUUCUAAACUGAGGAUGUAAAUGCAGGACUAAUAGUCGUAGGAAUUCUUCGUUUAUGAUCAGUGG